UACAGAGGUCCCGAGCGUUGUUCGGAAUUACUGGGCGUAAAGGGCGCGUAGGCGGUCUUGUAAGUCUUGUGUGAAAUCCCUCGGCUUAACUGAGGAACUGCACGGGAUACUGCAUGACUUGAGAUCGGGAGAGGGAAGCGGAAUUCCGGGUGUAGCGGUGAAAUGCGUAGAUAUCUGGAGGAAUACCGGUGGCGAAGGCGGCAUCCUGGACCGACAUUGACGCUGAUGAGCGAAAGCCAGGGGAGCAAACGGG
rnacentral:rRNA from 1 species